rnacentral:rRNA from 1 species
AGUUCAUAUCGCCAGCGGCGUUUGGCACCUCGAUGUCUGCCCAUCACAUCCUGGGGCCGAAGUAGGUCCCAAGGGGAUGGCUGUUCGCCAUUUUAAGUGGUACCCGGGCGAGGUUUAGAACGCCGAGAGAAGGUUCGGCGCCUAUCUUGCCAGGGCGCUGGAGAACUGCGGGGGGCGGCCCCUAGUAAGGGAGGACCGGGGGGGACGCAUCACUGGUGUUAGGGUUGUCCUGCCAAUG